UUUAACUCGAUCGUAACCAUCUGUAGAAUUAAAUAUCACAAAUAUUUAUUUAUGACUGUUAAAAUUCAAAUGAAUUUUGUUUCAAAUGAAAAGAAAUUAAAAAAACAAGCAUUUUAAGACCAAAUAAGCCAUGUGUUUGAUAAAGUCAGGAUAUAAGCUUAUAUUUCACCAACUUCAUGAAUAAAGAAAAAGACUUUUGGCUUUAUUAUCAACAUGCUAUCAAGGAUUGGUCACUUUAGUCACAAGUAAAGUUGGAAAGGAAAAAGAUUGACUCUUCAGAUGUAAAAUGCCACAGACUGAUAUAGACAGAUGGGCCAUCACAUGAUCGCAACAUUGCUGUCCUUUAUUUUUAUUUUAAAAUGUAUGAACCAUUAGAUGCAGCAUUUAGUAUAAUGACAUUCUGGCAACUAGACCAAAAAAAAAAAAAAGACAA